GAUGAACGCUAGCUACAGGCUUAACACAUGCAAGUCGAGGGGCAGCAUUUUAGUUUGCUUGCAAACUAAAGAUGGCGACCGGCGCACGGGUGAGUAACACGUAUCCAACCUGCCGAUAGCUCGGGGAUAGCCUUUCGAAAGAAAGAUUAAUAUCCGAUAGUAUAUUAAAACCGCAUGGUUUUACUAUUAAAGAAUUUCGGUUAUCGAUGGGGAUGCGUUCCAUUAGUUUGUUGGCGGGGUAACGGCCCACCAAGACUACGAUGGAUAGGGGUUCUGAGAGGAAGGUCCCCCACAUUGGAACUGAGACACGGUCCAAACUCCUACGGGAGGCAGCAGUGAGGAAUAUUGGUCAAUGGACGAGAGUCUGAACCAGCCAAGUAGCGUGAAGGAUGACUGCCCUAUGGAUUGUAAACUUCUUUUAUAUGGGAAUAAAGUAUUCCACGUGUGGGAUUUUGUAUGUACCAUAUGAAUAAGGAUCGGCUAACUCCGUGCCAGCAGCCGCGGUAAUACGGAGGAUCCGAGCGUUAUCCGGAUUUAUUGGGUUUAAAGGGAGCGUAGGUGGAUUGUUAAGUCAGUUGUGAAAGUUUGCGGCUCAACCGUAAAAUUGCAGUUGAAACUGGCAGUCUUGAGCACAGUAGAGGUGGGCGGAAUUCGUGGUGUAGCGGUGAAAUGCUUAGAUAUCACGAAGAACUCCGAUUGCGAAGGCAGCUCACUAGACUGCAACUGACACUGAUGCUCGAAAGUGUGGGUAUCAAACAGGAUUAGAUACCCUGGUAGUCCACACAGUAAACGAUGAAUACUCGCUGUUUGCGAUAUACAGUAAGCGGCCAAGCGAAAGCAUUAAGUAUUCCACCUGGGGAGUACGCCGGCAACGGUGAAACUCAAAGGAAUUGACGGGGGCCCGCACAAGCGGAGGAACAUGUGGUUUAAUUCGAUGAUACGCGAGGAACCUUACCCGGGCUUAAAUUGCAUUUGAAUAAUCUGGAAACAGGUUAGCCGCAAGGCAAAUGUGAAGGUGCUGCAUGGUUGUCGUCAGCUCGUGCCGUGAGGUGUCGGCUUAAGUGCCAUAACGAGCGCAACCCUUAUCUUUAGUUACUAACAGGUCAUGCUGAGGACUCUAGAGAGACUGCCGUCGUAAGAUGUGAGGAAGGUGGGGAUGACGUCAAAUCAGCACGGCCCUUACGUCCGGGGCUACACACGUGUUACAAUGGGGGGUACAGAAGGCAGCUACCUGGCGACAGGAUGCUAAUCCCAAAAACCUCUCUCAGUUCGGAUCGAAGUCUGCAACCCGACUUCGUGAAGCUGGAUUCGCUAGUAAUCGCGCAUCAGCCAUGGCGCGGUGAAUACGUUCCCGGGCCUUGUACACACCGCCCGUCAAGCCAUGAAAGCCGGGGGUACCUGAAGUACGUGACCGUAAGGAGCGUCCUAGGGUAAAACUGGUAAUUGGGGCU
rnacentral:rRNA from 1 species